rnacentral:rRNA from 1 species
AUUGAACGCUGGCGGCAUGCCUUACACAUGCAAGUCGAACGGUAACGCGGGGCAACCUGGCGACGAGUGGCGAACGGGUGAGUAACGCAUCGGAACGUGCACAAUAGUGGGGGAUAGCCCGGCGCAAGCCGGAUUAAUACCGCAUACGACCUAAGGGUGAAAGCGGGGGAUCGCAAGACCUCGCGCUAUUGGAGCGGCCGAGGUAGGAUUAGGUAGUUGGUGGGGUACAGGCCCACCAAGCCGACGAUCUGUAGCUGGUCUGAGAGGACGACCGGCCACACUGGGACGGAGACACGGCCAGGACUCCUACGGGAGUCAGCGGAAGGGAAUUAUGGACAAGGGGCGCAAGCCUGAGGCGGCCAGGCCGCGUGCGGGAAGAAGGUUUUCGGGUGGUAAACCGCUUUGGUAAGGGAAGAAAAGGCUCGAACUAGUACUUUGGGCUGAUGACGGUACCUGAAGAAUAAGCACCGGCUAACUACGUGCCAGCGGCCGCCGUAAAAC